rnacentral:rRNA from 1 species
UUCCGGUUGAUCCUGCCAGAGGUUACUGCUAUCGGGGUUCGAUUAAGCCAUGCGAGUCAAAUGUUCUUCGUGAACAUGGCGAACUGCUCAGUAACACGCGGACAACUUACCCUUAGGACUGGAAUAACCCCGGGAAACUGGGGAUAAUACCAGAUAAAUCAUAGAUGCUGGAAUGCUCUAUGGUUCAAAGCUCCGGCGCCUAAGGAUGGGUCUGCGGUCUAUCAGGUAGUAGUGGGUGUAACGUACCUACUAGCCGACGACGGAUACGGGUUGUGAGAGCAAGAGCCCGGAGAUGGAUUCUGAGACACGAAUCCAGGCCCUACGGGGUGCAGCAGGCGCGAACACUUUACAAUGCGGGAAACCGCGAUAAGGGAACCCCGAGUGCCAGCAUCAAAUGUUGGCUGUCCAGAUGAUUAAAACUCAUUUGUUAGCAAGGGCCGGGCAAGACCGGUGCCAGCCGCCGCGGUAACACCGGCCCCGAGUUGGUAACCGUUUUUAUUGGGUCUAAAGGGUCCGUAGCCGGCCUGAAAAGUCCUUUGGGAAAUCUGACAGCUUAACUGUCAGGCUUCUAAGGGAUACUGUCAGGCUUGGGACCGGGAGAGGUAAGGGGUACUCCAAGGGUAGGAGUGAAAUCUUGUAAUCCUUGGGGGACCAUCUGUGGCGAAGGCGCCUUACCAGAACGGGUCCGACGGUGAGGGACGAAAGCUAGGGGAGCAAACCGGAUUAGAUACCCGGGUAGUCCUAGCUGUAAACGAUGCUCGUAGGUGUCAGACACGGUGCGACCGUGUUUGGUGCCGCAGGGAAGCCGUUAAGCGAGCCACCUGGGAAGUACGGUUCGCAAGGCUGAAACUUAAAGGAAUUGGCGGGGGAGCACUACAA